UACGUAGGUGGCAAGCGUUAUCCGGAAUUAUUGGGCGUAAAGCGCACGUAGGCGGAUUGUUAAGUCGGGGGUGAAAUCCUGGAGCUCAACUCCAGAACUGCCUUUGAUACUGGGGAUCUCGAGUCCGGAAGAGGUGAGUGGAACUCCGAGUGUAGAGGUGAAAUUCGUAGAUAUUCGGAAGAACACCAGUGGCGAAGGCGGCUCACUGGUCCGGUACUGACGCUGAGGUGCGAAAGCGUGGGGAGCAAACAGG
rnacentral:rRNA from 1 species